AUGGUAAGUGAGUGGUGCUUUCCCAGGACUGGUGUUUCUUGGACACCUCAACUCUCAGCACCGACCAGGGACCCUUCUGCAUCUGAGGUGGCACCGAUUCACAUUUAUAUCUCCACCCCCCAAGGUUUAGGUGAGAGGUUCAUCUGGCACCUUCACUCGAUCCCGGUCAGAAGCGAACAUCUGCUCCGUGUCUGACCCUGAAGUUUGAAGAUGAUUUGACAACAUGUAGGAUGAGCAGGGACUUGCACGCGGCCCACGCACACGUCCACCUCCAGCAGGAUGGGGACGACCCAGCAGAGAACCUCACUGCCGCUCGGGGAAGACGGCCAGCAGCUAGGCCCCAGCCCCACAUGUGCUGCCGCAGAGCCAGUGUAGACCUGAUUGAAACGACAUCUUCACCAGCAGCCUCGACGGAGGGAUUCGGAGGAGCACGCGUCCUGACGGCCCCCAGGAAUGGCGAGGUCGUCCCGCAGCGGGACCCUCCUCAGCUGCCAGGAUGGCUGAGACUCGGCUUUGCGCAACAGGGCUUCAGUUUCCUUUUUUUCCCUGAAAACUGGUCAUCAUUCCAGCUGUCUCUCCACCGGUUCGGGUUUUUCAGGGAUCCUCUGGGAUCCGUCGCUGUGGGAUCUGACUGUAGCCCCAGCACCAGGCCGCAGCAUGGGACAGAGCGACGUCCCUUCGCCCUUGGUGCGGACAUUCUUCACGCCAGGAGCUUCUCAGCUGAUAAGCCUCCGUCAGCAUCUCCGCGGAGAGCACUGCGUGCUUGCCGAAACCACAGCGUGCAGGCGGCCCCGAUGUGUCCGCGCCCGAGCGUCCUGCACAGGCCGGCAGCCCGCGCCACCCUCCCCACCCCGGGACAGGCGGCCGGUGCAUUGAGCUGACCGGUCACAUACACUCGGGGCCUUAGACCCCUGAAAGGCAGGUGAAUUCGCGUUAGCAGGGGGCCGCAGUCCGCCAGGCAGCCCUGGGCCAGUCGAUGCACCUCGCGGGCCCCGUGGCCUGAUCCAUCGGGCAGAGUGCAUGAGGGUCUGGUCCGUCCUUUCGUGCUCCGGGGCCGGGCCCGGCUCACCCGGGUGCAAACGAGAACCACAAGUGAACCGUCUCGAACGUGUGGAUGUCGUCCUAGGACCAACACGCAUCCUUGGGUAGAGAAUAAUCAUAAUCUUCAGUGAACAAGAAAACUACCUAAAAUGAUAACAAAUGCGAGCAAAUCCCCUUGAUUACAAAAUACAGAUACGAUUCAGACGCGGUUUUCUCUGGCUGCAAAAUGAUAUGUUAUUAAGGUCUCGGCGUAACAGCAGAGAUUUUUCAUCAUCGACUGUGUGCGUUUUGGAGGGACGCUCUGUGCCACGGACGUCUCCUCGCCGGCUGCCCAAGGAGCUGAACUGGAAGAUAUUUAAUACGGAACUAUAAUAGAAUUCAGUGCUCAUUAUUCAAGUGCAGGCACGGGUUCUGGCCCACGGUAAUUAUUAAAAUCAUGUUUAUGCCAAGUAAUG
rnacentral:lncRNA from 1 species